AAACUGCUUGCCCGAUCGGUUCACCACCAUGAUUUUACCAUCUAUUUAAACAAUAUCAUUCGCGUGUGGUUAUUCUUGAACAUUGGAGAUUGGACAAUUUGACUACUACUUGCUCACUUAAAGAAUUAUCACUUAUGACUUCGAUCCUCAGGGUUAUGUUAUCUUCAUCGGUCAAAUCGCGUGGGAAAGCAGGCGUGUCGGCACUCGGACAGUAAACGCUAAUGAUAGACGGUGGUAGACGGCGAAUAUUUUCAUAAAAUGGAAAAAUUAAAGGAAAAUCAGCGAGAAUAGAAUAAUUAGAGGGUUUAAAGCUAAUGAAAUAUUAAUAACAUAGAGUUAUUAAUAUUUUUUGAAAAAAACACAAUUAAGAGUUAUAAAAAUUUCUUUUCUUAACCAAGUUUUUUUCACUUAUACAAUUUUUAUAAAUAAAUGACGAUCAAUGGCUAAAAAUUUCUAUAUAAAAAAUUGUAUAAAACUAAAUUAUCUGGACAUAAAUGAGAUAUGUAAAUGAACUAUAAAUUUAGAUGUAAAUAAAAUGUAUUAUCAGCAAAUUGAUGCAUAAAUAAACGCGAGAGACAUA